CACUCUUGGAGACAUCUAGAAGAGGGUAUCUUGCUACAAUUUCAGCUUCGAGUUACUCUUUUGUCUCCCUGCUUCGGCACUUUCUUCCAAUAAUGAAUCCAGGUUUCUUUCGAUUCCAUGAAAACAAAACAAUUGCAUGUUCCAUUUGUGUGUAUAUUUCAACUUGAGAUCCUGACAAGAACAUCAUUAUCAAUCCAUCAUUAUAUCUUCUUCUUUACGCACAGAAUAAAGCAAUGCUAGUAGUUAUAAUAAAACCCAAAAUAAAGUUAUCAAACAAUUCCUUUUCUUGUUGGCACAUAGAUUUUAUAUCUCAUCUUCACUUUGUUUUGGAUGUCUCCGUUAAACAUGGCAAGCGGUGCUUCAAUAUCUUUGACAUACAUAGCUUCCUAAAGGGCAAUCCCAGGAUACGAAGGUGGAAUGAGCUCAGCAAAAGCUGCAUUGGAGAGCGAUACAAAAGUGCUGGCUUUUGAACUGCACUUGCUUGCCACAAAGCAUCAGGUGCCCUCAAGAGUACUGGGAAGAAUGUCGACAAACUAAAAAAAUGAAGAG